rnacentral:lncRNA from 1 species
UAAUCAUAAGUUAAAUGCAUUUUAAAUUCUUAUUGCUAUAGUUUUCUAGUACAAAAGAGAAGAUAGGAGUAUUGUUUAUUUCAUCAACUACAAACACACAAGCACAUACAAUUAAAACAUCAUAAAGAGACAUUCACUAAAACAUGCACCAAAACCACCAAUCUUCAAGUGCACAUCCCAUUGUUUAUUAUCUCUUUUCUGCAAGAAACCAAUCAAGUUCACAACAUUACACAUAAACUUGGCCCAAAUAGUUCCCAUAACAGAUAAAUUUAACUGCUUUAAAAUCUUUAUUAAUCGGGCACGAAAUGACACACCUUGUCUCUUAAGAUGAUGACGAACUCAACAGAUCUUGAAUAUCUU